CCAGUUUGCCAACUUUAUUCGCGUGUAUGCAUGCAGUGGGCGCACCGAGUUGAGACGACGAUGCUGACGCUUCGUUUCCCUUCAGUACAAACACCAAAGAAAAAAACAAAAAACUACGCAUGUCAGCCGUAAUACUUCCGCCAACAAUUUUUUGUUUCCCGUUUGUUUGGCAUACAGCUACAGCGCAGACACAAGUUCGCGAUGCUUCGUGCGCGCAAGAAGAGACAACGUCUAAGAAUGACGGUGUCGUGCUGACUGCAACCAUGCUGACCGACAAGUACGGUGCGCCUAGGAAAUGUAUUCUACCUUGUACGAGUAAAGCAAAGUUCCACUAGCAGUGACGCGGCUGGCUGUGCAGAAGCGAGACAGCGAGAAGAGGAUGGGGUUGUCAAUUCGGGCGAGAUUACUUAGGUCAACAUAAUGGCAAGUCCAGGAUGGCCAGCAUCGGCACACCACCUCUUUUCUGCCAGAUUUAUAAGAAAGAUUGUACGUUCUCUACAAUAAAAAUAAACUGAGGAUAAGCUCGAAAAUAAAAUAAA